AACGAACGCUGGCGGCAGGCCUAACACAUGCAAGUCGAGCGAAGCCUUCGGGCUUAGCGGCGGACGGGUGAGUAACGCGUGGGAACGUGCCCUUUGGUACGGAAUAGCCCCGGGAAACUGGGAGUAACACCGAAUGUGGUCGAGAGACGAAAGAUUUAUCGCAAACGGAUCGGCCCGCGUUGGUUUAGGUAGUUGGUGGGGUAAUGGCCUACCAAGCCGACGGUGCAUAGCUGGUUUGAGAGGAUGAUCAGACACACUGGGACUGGCACACGGCCCAGACUCCUACGGGAGGCAGCAGAGGGGAAUCGUAGAAAAUGGGGGAAACCAUGAUCUAGACAUGCCGCGUGAUCGAUGAAGGCCGUAGGGUUGUAAAGAUCUUUCAGUGGGGAAGAUAAUGACUGUACCCACAGAAGAAGCCCCGGCUAACUCCGUGCCAGCCGCCGCAGUAAGAC
rnacentral:rRNA from 1 species